GCCGGAGUGGUGAAAUUGGCAUACACGCAGUGUUCAGAACGCUGUGGGGGUAACCCCGUGGAGGUUCAAAUCCUCUCUCCGGCA
rnacentral:tRNA from 2 species